CCCACAGCAGCCUCCUAUGCUACGAACCAUGUUCGUAUUUUGAAGACCUAGCAGUGACUUUGUCACAGGAGUAGGCUUAAAACUUUGAUGGUGCUAAUUAGUAGGCCUAAACAACAAGCAAAUGGCCACGAUAGGAGAUUCAGCCCCAUUCCAGUGGACAGCAACUGAAUUGGAAUCCCGCAAUGUGACGUUCAGCACCACAGUGCAGUACCCAACACUCAGUUAAAGCAAAAAAAGUGGGGCUGCAGUUAAGACGAACGCGCGCGUGUGUGUGUGGGACAUGUGCAACCCAUAGCUCAAAAUGUGUGCUGAUCUCCCUCUAUCCUCCCUACAUCUCCUGGUGCCACCACUACAUCUGAAGUCUGCUUUCAUGUGGCAAGUGGCUCAGCAGCAUGACAUGAUGCAGUAUGGGAAGCUGGAGGAGUUUGUGACUGGUAACUAGAGAUGGUUCCGGAGCUGCUGACCUUAAGGCAGAGGGUCCAUCUCAUCCUGGGACUGAGAGCGAGGAGCAAAGAUAAAGAAGUGGAGGCAUCAACAGAUAAAGAAGUGGAGUUGGUCCAAACACUGCUAGAAGAGGGAACACUUCAGGUGUUCCCUGUGCAGUACAGCUCUAGGUAUGAUACAGCGCUGCAGAUACUGGUGUGGCAGUUCUUUGACAGACUGGAGGAGAUGCUGCCAGUGCUCAACUUUACACAGUACUGAUGCCACUCACAGGAGGUUGGUGACACCAUAAUUGGAGAGGACUGGCUCGUGGUAAUGGCUGGAGCAGAAUAAGUGCAAUGGUAUCAAACAGGGUUUCCAUGUGUCUGAUGCUAUUCAAUUUAAUCCGUUCCAGACAUUAUUAUAAACCGUCCUCCCCUCAGCAACCUCCACCCUAUUAGAUCAUCUAAAACAUGUCGACAUUCAUUUGUAAACUUGCUUGACAUGUAGGUAAAAAAUAUAUAUUUUUAAAUGGCCCCUCCACGAAUGAAUAAACAUCCGUAAGUAUCAACAGAGGAGGGGUCCUGUGGGAUUGGGCUGUGUUUUUCUCCAUUCUUCAGGCAUGCUUAUGUAACCGGUGUGAAGGGGGUGACUGUUGUCGACGUGUGCAGGGGGUCCCUGGUUCAGGCCCUGGUUGGAGCGAGGAGAGGUCCCUGGUUCAGGCCCUGGUUGGAGCGAGGAGAGGUCCCUGGUUCAGGCCCUGGUUGGGGCGAGAAGAGGGCCCUGGUUGGAGUGGGCCCUGGUUUGGGCGAGGAGAGGUCCCUGGUUCAGGAGCUGGUUGGGGCGAGGUGCGGGCCCUGGUUGGGGCGAGGAGCGGGCCCUGGUUGGGGCGAGGAGCGUGCCCUGGUUGGGGCGAGGAGCUGGACCUGGUUGGGGCGAGUAGCAGGCCCUGCUUGGGGUGAGGGGAAGGCCCUGGUUCUGGCCCUGGUUUGGACGAGUAGAGGUCCCUGGUUUGGGAGAGGAGAGGUCUCUGGUUGGGGUGAGGAGAGUUCCCUGGUUCGGGCCCUGGUUGGGGCGAGGACAGGGCCCUGGUUGGGGAGAGGAGCGGGCCCUGGUUGGGACGAGGACAGGGCCGUGGUGCGGGCCCUGGUUCUGGCCCUGGUUGGGGCGAUGGGAGGGCCCUGGUUGGGAAAGGGCCCUGGUGCGGGCCCUUGUUGGGGCGAGGGGAGGGCCCUGGUGUGGGACCAGGUUGGGGUGAGUGGAGAGAUAGAAGCUGUUCUACUUAUUAUUCUCUCCCUCUCAGACAGCAUCUAUUCUCAACCUGACCCCUACUGAUCUGGAGGAGUGUGAGCAGUCUGUCUCUGUCUCUGACCCUGACCCUGACCCAGAGCAUCUGAAGACACUGCUGCAGAAUCAUAGACAUCCUGGGCACCUUAAAGAAGAUGUUCUCUUCUACGAUUCUGAUACCAUCCUGUCCACAUUGUUCCUCCUCGUUCCCUCACUGGAGUCUAAACCGACCCAGAGAGGUGGAGGAAAGGGCAGGGUGAAGACAGUGAUGUGACGACAGAAGGGGGGAAGAACAAGGCUGGUGAGAAGGGACAGCAAGAAGUCAGCGGGGAAGAUGAAGACACCAAUGAGGAAAGUGAUGAGGACACUAAAAGACUGGAAGAGGCUGGGAACUCUGGGCAGCAGAAACGGCCAUCAUCAGGGGCCGUCAAUGGUAUUGAGAUUAAGGACAGAAUACUUUGCAUAGAUACUGAGUAUACAAAACAUUUAAGAACACCUGACUGACCUAUGAAAAAAGCUAUGAUUUCUUAUUGAUGUCACUUGUUAAAUCCACUUCCAUCACUGUAGAUAAAGGGGAGACGGGUUAACUUAUUUGGGACUUGGGGGCAGUAUUGAGUAGCUUGGAUGAAUAAGGUGCCCAGAGUAAACUUGCUAUUCAGGCCCAGUUGCUAAUAUCUGCAUAUUAUUGGUAUAUUUGGAUAGAAAACAUUCUGUAGUUCCUAAAACUGUUUGAAUGAUGUC